rnacentral:rRNA from 1 species
CAGCCGCCACGGGAAUACGAAGGGUGCAAGCGUUAAUCGGAAUUACUGGGCGUAAAGCGUGCGUAGGCGGUUUGUUAAGUCUGCUGUGAAAUCCCCGGGCUCAACCUGGGAAUGGCAGUGGAUACUGGCAAGCUAGAGUGUGUUAGAGGAUGGUGGAAUUCCCGGUGUAGCGGUGAAAUGCGUAGAGAUCGGGAGGAACAUCAGUGGCGAAGGCGGCCAUCUGGGACAACACUGACGCUGAGGCACGAAAGCUAGGGGAGCGAACGGGAUUAGAUACCCCCGUAGUCCCUGUCUCUUAUAC